CCUUAAACUUAACCGUAAACCAGUAGGUGCGGUCCUGGACUACCUGGGCUACGAUGGGUAGCUGGUCUGAUUAGGAUGAUCAGCCACACUGGAACUGACCACACGGUCCAUGACUCCUACGGGAGGCAUCAGUGGGGAAUUUUGCGCAAUGGGCGAAAGCCUGACGCAGCAACGCCGCGUGAGUGAUGAAGGCCCUCGGGUCGUAAAGCUCUGUCAGAGGGGAAGAACCUCCCAUCGGUUAAUAUCCGGUGGGCCUGACGGUACCCUCAAAGGAAGCACCGGCUAACUCCGUGCCAGCAGCCGCGGUAAUACGGAGGGUGCAAGCGUUGUUCGGAAUUAUUGGGCGUAAAGCGCGUGUAGGCGGCUGUUUAAGUCUGAUGUGAAAGCCCUGGGCUCAACCCGGGAAGUGCAUUGGAAACUGGACAGCUUGAAUACGGGAGAGGGAAGUGGAAUUUCGAGUGUAGGGGUGAAAUCCGUAGAUAUUCGAAGGAACACCGGUGGCGAAGGCGGCUUCCUGGACGAUAUUGACGCUGAGACGCAAAAGCGUGGGGAGCAAACAGGAUUAAUACCCUGGUAGUCCACGCCGUAAACAUGGGUAUAAGUGUCGCGGGUAUGACCCUGCGUGCCGAACUAAGCAUAAUACCCGCUGGGGAGUACGGCGCAGGUAAAAUCAAGAAUGACGGGGCCGCCAACGUGAACUUUGUUAAUCACCAGAAAACUACUGGGUGAUCAUCGACUAUGA
rnacentral:rRNA from 1 species